rnacentral:rRNA from 1 species
CGUGUAGGCAGUUUGUCAAGUCGGGUGUGAAAGCCUGGGGCUCAGCCCCAGAAGUGCAUCCGAAACUAGCGAGCUAGAGCGCGAUAGAGGAGGGUGGAAUUCCUGGUGUAGCGGUGAAAUGCGUAGAUAUCAGGAGGAACACCGGCGGCGAAGGCGGCCCUCUGGAUCGUUGCUGACGCUGAGACGCGAAAGCGUGGGGAGCAAACAGGAUUAGAUACCCUGGUAGUCCACGCCUUAAACGAUGGGUACUAGGUGUUCGGGGUGUUGACCCCCUGAGUGCCGCAGUUAACGCAUUAAGUACCCCGCCUGGGGACUACGGCCGCAAGGUUAAA